GUAGUUAGCCGGGGCUUCCUCCUUGGCUACCGUCACUUUCUUCGUCACCAAGGACAGAGGUUUACAAUCCGAAGACCUUCUUCCCUCACGCGGCGUUGCUGGGUCAGGCUUGCGCCCAUUGCCCAAUAUUCCCCACUGCUGCCUCCCGUAGGAGUCUGGACCGUGUCUCAGUUCCAGUGUGGCCGUUCAGCCUCUCAGCUCGGCUACCCAUCGUCGACUUGGUGGGCCGUUACCCCGCCAACUAUCUAAUGGGACGCGAACCCCUCCUGAAGCGGAUUGCUCCUUUGACCUCAUCCCGAUGUCGGGUCGUGGUCUUAUGCGGUAUUAGCAACCGUUUCCGAUUGUUAUCCCCCUCUUCAGGGCAGGUUGUUCACGCGUUACUCACCCGUUCGCCACUAAAGUAUCAACCGAAAUCAAUACUUCCGUUCGACUUGCAUGUGUUAGGCACGCCGCCAGCGUUCGUCCUGAGCCAGUGACAACUACUCGACUCGUAGACGGCGUGUCGACGACGGCG
rnacentral:rRNA from 1 species